UUUUUUUUUUUUUUUGUUAGUUUUUUUUGGUUUUGUUAAUACAGUAUUUGUUAAUAAUAAAGAUUAUGCACUACAAAAAAAGUUAAGAAAUGUGCCUAAAGCAACUGAAAAAGAAAGGAGAGGCUACUUUGGAGAAAUUGAAACUCACAAUGCAUGUAAUUUAAAAAAAAACAAACAUUUUUUUUCAGGUGAUACAUUGUGAAACUGAACGACACCACGUGAUUAAAAGGAUGCAUGCAGAAGAAGGAGGAAACUGAAACACAUCACGUCGAGCAAUUUCAGAGACCUUACAGCCAGAGGCUUUACCAGUGUACACGCUGUAGAAAACCAUGGCCCACAGCAAGGAUUCACCAUGGACUUUAGAGUUCCCUCAGGAUCUUCUUCCGUCUGCGGAGCGAACAGCUCUUCUCUAUCAUCUGUGUUACCUGCUUCUGGGAAGAUUCCUCGAUUUGCAGAGUCUGAUCAGAGAACAAGCUCUUGAAACACAACGGGUGUUUAGAUGCUCUGAGGCUGUUAUUAUAAAGUGUGUCGGCACGAGUUCCAACCUGGACUCCUCUCUGUUCCCGAUACUGACGAAAGUCGUUGAAAAGAACAAACACCUUUUGGUUUUGUCAUACAUGGGGAAAGUCAGAACAUGGAUUGAUGACAUCAUUAAACAUGUUGAUUCCAUGGUGAAGAGGUAUGAACAACACAUCCAAAGUGUGGAGAAGUGUGCUGUUGAUGUGAUUCAAGUACAGAAAAAACUGGAAGAACCAUUUGAACCUUUAAAGAAGAUCAAGAGUCUGGAGGAGGAAAUAACCCAGCUGGAAGAGAAUAUUAGAGCAGAAAAUGUUCGUUGGAUGACCAAAAACCAUCUGACUGAACUUCAGAAGCAGUUGGGCCAUUACAGAAUGAAGCAGGGUCUGAUUGUCUACCUGGAGGAGGUUCAGUGUCUUUCUCGAAUCAAGCAGAUUCUGUUUCAGCUUCAGAAGUUCUGGGAGAGAGUGGGAUCUCUGCUGGACACACUGAAAGACAGGACCCUUGUUGGGGACAAUCUCACUGAGGACCUGGAUGACAUGAAGGAGGAGUUUCUGACCUCCAUUGAAGUAGCAAGAGAGUACUGGAAGACAUUCGGUGUAUCCUGUCGACGUGCACAAGGUGUUUUCAGCGUUCAGUCUGAAAAUGCAUAUAAGUUCCUGGAUAUCAAUCGGUCUUCCCUCUCAGAGGAUGAACGGAUGGAGCACUACAAGUCUGUCAUGGAGAAGCUGAAGCAGAUCAGCCCGCAGUAUUCAUCCACUGAGUGA
rnacentral:lncRNA from 12 species